AGCUUUCUGAAUCCGCGCUGAGAUUCCGUCAGACACCAAACUAUUGGCAUUGAUGAGACUCUCAAAAUUAGUGAGGCG
rfam:Schistosoma mattheei strain Denwood, Zambia genome assembly, scaffold: SMTD_scaffold0004892